rnacentral:lncRNA from 8 species
GUUUUAAGCCAUGGACAACUCAGGCUUUAUGCUUAGUCAGUGUUGUGUCAGUUACCAAGGCGACGAGUGCGUCCAACAAUGAAAAGUGAGAAAAAGAAGAAGAGGGUGACCAAACAGGUUGGAGGACAAUUUAGGAGGCUCAAAGUUUCAACGUUUAUUAGUCGAGCUGAUCUGAAGGAGAGAGCUGAGAUGAACCACUCUGACUCCGAUCUAUUUGUUCACGGACUGCUCUCACUCCUGAUUGAGAUCGGUGGGUGGUGUGUGUGUGGGCCAGGGGCUUCCCCCAGUCUAGUUCAGCCUUCAGCCUGUUCUCAUGCUAGUACAUCUCACCCCCAUCCUCAUAGUAUGUAAUGUUAUGAUAUGGGGGUAGUUAAGUGUUAGCACACAGUUAGGCAACACACUGCCAGGAUACACUUCCACACUCCAUCACCCAGGUGGCAGCACCAAACGGGUCGAGGGCAGUGCUCUGCCAGGAAGCUUUGAUAAGCACAUCAGGUGCUGCCAAUUAAGGUGAUUGUCAGUCUGUGUCCCAGCUGGAAAAGCCACGAGGCUGCAGGUUUUUCUUUGGUGGCCAUGAGGCCUUUUGUUUGUUUUUGAGUUUUGUGUUUGGGCAUGUCUUUGGUAUUUUUCGUUUUUGUACAUAUUUAAGUGUCGUCACCAUCUGAAAAAAUAAUCCGCUUGGACUGGCCGAUUAAGAGGUCGAUUAAGAGGUCAAAAAGGAGCUGGCAAUGGACCUAAGGUAAGGUGGCAGUCUCCUUAGUACAUUCAACACCUGGUCGCUUACACUUAUUUCUCACAUUUAUGCACAUCAAAUAAGUUAUAUUUAUGCACAGGAUGAGCCUGCAGGAAGGGUACCACAUGAGGGUGGAGGAUGUCUUCCCUGUUACGCACAGCGUUGAGAUUGCCUGUACAUCAAAUAUAUUAGCAGGCUAUUUAUUGGUUUUGUAACAAUAAUUAGAUCUGUCUGAUCUCUCCACAUGGUGUUCUACUCUCUGGGUGUUGCGUUGCUAUGGACAUUGCAUUACUAUGGCAGCCACUUUGCCCAUGCCGACUGUUGCCAUGGUGGAUAGCUUCGCCCUUGGAGGGGGUCUGGCGCUCGCCUGCGACCUUCGCAUUGUCGGUCAGUGACCUCUAACUUAUCACCAUAAGCCAGGCUGAAACGCAGUUCCAUACCGGCAGGGGUGAUAGUAAGCUGGUCCGGUACAGCGUCCCGGCAACUUAACGGUAAAACAUGAGCCUAUCACAAUAAUUACACAAAAUACCAAGAACUAUAGACUUUAACACCAUUAACAUUACCUCAUGUCAAAGGCACGAAAAUGUGCGAAUUGACUUGAAACCGAGUGGUAUACGCUUCAAAUUGUUGUGGUUUGACAAG